UACGUAGGGGGCAAGCGUUGUCCGGAUUUAUUGGGCGUAAAGAGCGUGUAGGCGGUCAGGUAGGUCCGUUGUGAAAACUCGAGGCUCAACCUCGAGACGCCGAUGGAAACCAUCUGGCUAGAGUCCGGAAGAGGAGAGUGGAAUUCCUGGUGUAGCGGUGAAAUGCGCAGAUAUCAGGAAGAACACCUAUGGCGAAGGCAGCUCUCUGGGACGGUACUGACGCUGAGACGCGAAAGCGUGGGGAGCGAACAGG
rnacentral:rRNA from 1 species